CAGUAGCCGCGGGAAUACGUAGGUGGCAAGCGUUGUCCGGAAUUAUUGGGCGUAAAGGGCUCGCAGGCGGUUUCUUAAGUCUGAUGUGAAAGCCCCCGGCUCAACCGGGGAGGGUCAUUGGAAACUGGGAAACUUGAGUGCAGAAGAGGAGAGUGGAAUUCCACGUGUAGCGGUGAAAUGCGUAGAGAUGUGGAGGAACACCAGUGGCGAAGGCGGCUCUCUGGUCUGUAACUGACGCUGAGGAGCGAAAGCGUGGGGAGCGAACAGGAUUAGAUACCCCUGUAGUCCCUGUCUCUUAUAC
rnacentral:rRNA from 1 species